AGAAAAUCGUGAAAAAAGAUCGAAUGAAAUGAAAAAACCAAAAAAAAAUAUCUUUUAUCAAUAAUAUAUCUCAGAAUGAAAACAGAUAAGCAAACGUGUAGGUAAAUACAUGUAUUCUUUUGGAGUAUCAUAUGAACAUUCGAGGAAUAACGCAAAGUAAAUAAUCCUAAUCUAAGGCGGGUAUUAAAUGUAUUAAACUCGAGACGAUUAAACUCUGACGAUGCACUUACGUUUCAUGGAACUUGAUUCAUGAUUUGACAUUACGAUUAUGUUAGUAGGAGAGAAAGAUUAGUGUAAAAUCAAAUUAUCUUGAUUGGUCAUAAUAUUUAAUAAAUAUUUAUAAUCAUCCAUUUUUGUUAAACUCUUUUAAAAAUUAAAUUGUUUAAAAUCCGUUUGUAUGAUUUGAUAAACCAUCAAGUUUCGUGCACAAAAUAUUUAAGAGACAACAUGAAUUACAGAAUGAGUGUAACAUAAAGAAAUUUUAUCGCACGAUAAAACGACUUUUUGAAUCUUCGUCUGGAAAACCACAGAAAAGCUACAAAGACGUCAAAAAGGUCGAUUGACAAAGCAAAGUAAUAAAAUAAAAAGAGAUGUCACAUCCGGUGAACAUCGCAAUAACAUGCUUAUCUAACAAACUUCCUUUGAGUAGAAUCUGAGUUACUGUAAUUAAGUAAAAAUCUUUCGAGAUAAAUUGACUGCAAUUACUCAACAUUCCUAAUGUUUCUUUAAAAUAAUCGGGAAAGCUUGUGAAAUUAAUCCGGUGAGUACAUAGAUACAUACAUAUAUACUUUCGUUCGUUCUUUCGAUAAAAAAAGUACUUGUAAACGAGAUCAGAAAAUAAGUAUGUAACCACAUAUGUAUGACAUCAUAUACGUACAUAUACGUACGUAGUCCGAUAUUUAUACACAUCGUUAUACAUAUCGUAAUAUCAAACAUCGAUAAAACCGGUGUUUAAUCAUUUGUAAAAACACACAAGUGUUCUUUGUAAUACAUUAUGUAUAACUUAUAAAAAUUGUAUCAAUUUGUCGCUUUUAUUUCCUAUUUAUCGUUUGACUACUUAUUAUAUUUAACAUGUACUUAUUAAAACAUAUAUCAUUAUUAUUAGUGUUUUAGGCAGACGAAACGUGAACUAUUCUCAGAUUCUGUUCUUUUUUAAAAGGAAUUUUAUAAAAGAUUAAUUUUUUGAACAAUAUUUGCAAAUGUUUCCGACAAUAAUAAUAAAUUUAUUCCCUUUUUCCUUAUAUGUAAAUUUUUCAUUACUUACGAUGUACAUAUAGAAAAGGAAGAAUAAUCUUCCUCAUGGAAAGAACCAUAAUUAGAAAAGACAUAGAAAUAGAACAAACAAAAGAAGGGAUACGUACGUAAUUACGAUCAUUUCCUAAUCGAUUAGAUUUCGAUGGGUUUCACAUACGAAUCUAUCAUAGUAGUCUUACAAGUGUUCCUCAUAGAGAAAAUUACGAGCUCUUUCGCUCUUUUGAGCGCAGAAGCACACGCUAUCUCAAUGUACCUAUAUAUUCAGUAUAAUAGGAUCAAUAUCUAUAUUAUCUAUCGUUUGUAUAAGUUUUACCUGUAUUUGCAUGUUUUUUAACAUAUGUAUACAAUAGAAGGAAAACAUGUAAAAGAAUAAUAGAUCUAAGUAAUUUUAUUGCUGUAAAUUAGCAAACAAAAAUCCUUAGAGAGAUCACGUUCAUCAGACAGACCACGAUUGAAGGGCAAACACGUCUCACACGUAUUUUUUUCAUAAAUUUAUAUUUAAAAUAUGACAACUUUUAAAAUCAAUAUUAAUUCACGAAUACAAAUUAUAAUACUUGCGUAGAUAAUCAAUGUGAAUGGUACGUUCAUUACAGAGGGAUUCGUCGGACUUAAUUGUUCCUAUUCAUUUGUCGCAUUUGAGCCGAUGAUAGCGUCGCACUAUUUCGCAUUUGUUUUCUCUCGCUCUCUCUCUCUCUCUCUCACACACACACACACACACACACACACACACUGUCACUCACUUUCUUAUAUUUCAUGGUGAAUUUUAACGUUUUCCCAAAUGUAUCAAAAAACUUAAUACAAAAUAAAAAUACAGAGAAUGACAGUACAAUGAUUUUUACGAUCAUCGCGGAUUGUAGAUUACAAAUAAAAGCUUAAUCGACAUAUAUUAAAACGAUUAAGAAUAUCUAACCAAUUAUUUUCCACGCAUUACGAUUGUAUAUUUAUAAUUACAGUUCGUUGAUAUUGUAAUUCAUGUCAUAUUUGUUUGUUUGUAUGUAUCAUAUAGUAUACAAUUUUUCAUUUAUUAUUGAUCCGAGCAAUGUUUAAAGAACCAUUUAAAGACUAACUAAUUAUUGAUACUUAAGUUUAAUAUUAAACUUUUGAAUGAAAUUUAAAGGUAAAUCCUAUUUAAUAAAUAUUUCUCGCAAGCUCAUUAAUGUUUAAAAAUCGAUAAAAAUAAUACGGUUAAGUUGCGGCGAGCUUUAAAGCCACAAUGUAAGUAGUGCACCUUAUAUAAGUAUGUAUGUAGACGUAUCAAGAUAGUAGGCUACGACAUAGAAUACGUUCAGUGAGAAUUGAACCGACGAUCGGGGGGGGCCAACGACUCUUCACCAGUAAUACACUGUCGUAUCCACGAACGAACUCUCUUCGUUAGAAUCAAUAUUCAGUCACCUUGCCAGACAGAGUUAUAAAUAUACAUUAAACGUAUCACCAAUGACGUCGAUUUGGUUCUUGAUCGAGCCCUUUCCGGCUUCCCACUCUUGUACAAGGAAAGAAUUACAACGACAUUAAUUGCAAAUAUCAAGACUCACUUGUUAACGAUAACGCAAGUAGGUAGGUACAUAUACACUCAAACAUCCGACAGGUAGUCUCGUAUUUACACCGAGCUGAUAGCAAUGUUUUUAAAAGACUUAUAGAUAUUUACUGUAGUUUUAUGCAUUUGUUUAUUGAUAAAUGCAUAUACAUGGUAUAUACACAACGUUUAUGUACUUUUUACAAGCUCGCUUCCUUGAAAGAACAAGAAAAAAGUAAAAAAAAAAGAAUUUUAGUUUCGUUUGGGGUUACAUCAUUAAAAUCUCUCUUUUCGAAGAAUUGGCAAAAAAUUUCGUAGAAUGAUUUCUUUUUCUUUGGCGGAAGAAAGAAGGGAAAAAUAAAAGCAUCAUUCUUGUAGUCCACGGAAAGAUUCUCUCACGCUAGAGGCGCCAGACAACUAACCGGACGACCUUGAGCAUAGUUAUCACGUGUCUCCACAGACCAAUCGAAGUAGGACAUCGUAAUAGGACAUAGAACUCAUUCGUACUUUUCUUUGCGGUGGACUCGACCAUGUUUUUUUAGAUGUAAUUUAUCACAAAAACAAACAAAAACGAACAAGGACUGAUGAUAUCUCGAAAAUGAACCGAAAAAACAAUCCCGGCAAUAUAAGUUGCUGUAUUGUAUUUCAAAAUAUUAAAUGAUCCUAACACGGGAACAGUUCAAAUUCCACGGACCGCUAUCCAUGUGAAUAUAUAAUUUAGUUAAGUAGUUAAAUUUCUACCCUUAACUUAAAUUCUAUCCUUAAAUUAAAUUUCUAUCCUUGUCAAUGAAAACACGAAGCAACGAAAUAAACCGUAAAUAGAAAUAUAUCAACUAUGAUAAUGAACAAAAAAAAAGAAUGUAAAUAUAAAUCGUUUUAAUAGUGGCGUUUUGUAAAUCGAUCGAUCGAAUGGUACUCGCCAUAUUCCAGGCGCUACAUUUGAAAGAGCGAGCACGUGGAGUAAGAUGGCCGAAGGUAACCGUAGAUGGCUGUGACAGGUAAUAUAAUUCAACCACGACGUCGUGCAUGGAAGGAUUGUUCUCUUCUCUCUCUUCCUCCCUUCUACUCUCCCUCCUUUUUUCUUAUUCGUUCUUUCUUCUACGUACUCAACUUUGUCAUAUCGUCUGGCAAUCGUCUGAGCGUAGUCUGGCAGGCCGUACUCACGCGCACUUUGAGGCAAUGGCCUAUUUUCUCUUCGGUUUCUCAUUCUCACUUUUUCUUUUUUCAUCUUCAUGUAUCGCAUAGAUUAGCGUCUUCCUUUAAGAAUCACAAAUAUUGCUCUAAAAGCGCGAUUUUGCUUCUCCUCUUCGUCCUAUACAGCGCACAUUUUCGUUUGUUCACCUUAAUUUAUUUAUAUCCGAAAGCCAAAAUAGUUUACGUUCCCUUCGCAUCAUUGCUUUCUUCUCUUCCCUCACGCAUCUAACGAAGAUAGAAUAAUAUUCGGAGAGUCGGUACAGCAAUCAUAUCGAACUUCUUGCCAAUUUGGCUCAUGAUUUACUAUAACACCACUAUAAUUCUAGAAUGAAUGUAUGUGGCCAUGAUAAAAUAAUCACGAUUAAUUUCUUUGCUUUCUCUAUCGCUUUUGAAUUUUCCUAGGAUUUCUAUCAGCUACGUUAAUAUGAAAUACCACUAAACAGCUAAGCUUUCCUAGAAAUUUGACUAAUAGUACAUCUUUUGGAGAACUGUUUCAAAAAUUAAAAUUGAAUAAGAUCAGCCUUAAAUUUAAUUAUAAAACUCUUGUCUAUAUGACUAUAGUACGAUAAAUGGUUCCUGGCGACAAUUUUUGUAUUCUAUGGUGGUGAACGGUGAUCCAUUGUUAGAACGGAAUUUCUUCUUUUUUCAAGGGUGCUGCCACCUAUCGACAAAAACGCAAGCUUCUCAAGUUCGUAAAUACACGAAGGACGAAGGAGCUUAAAAAGAUAACCUUGAAAGAUCGAUAUUCUUGAACACAAUGCAAGGCAUGCGAUUUAGAUAACCUGCUAAUCGAUCGAAUUAAAAAUUACGGUGACAAUUUCUAAUCGAUAUAACUAUUGAUUACAUAAACGUUCUAAUUAACCUUUUUGAUUAUCGAUAGUAAAAAUAGAUUUGUAAAAUAUCUCAAUUUUCUACAACCAAAUUGCUUUUUACAAAAAGAUUGUUGCUGGAUGAUUUAAUUUGAAUGAUUUAAACCAGACGUUACAAUCUUAUAUCCAAAUAUCGUAUUGCCUAUAGGAUCGGCGGGUAUGUGAUCAGCGAGUCGCUUACGAUAAUCAGAUUUAAUACAUACUGCAAAGUUGAAAAACGUGCAAAUAUAAACGUAAAAAUAUUUUUUUUUCUCCCCCUCUUCCAUAAUCAGUCAGUAAAAGAUGAUUUCUCUCGAAUUUUUUCAAGGUCGCAUAAUAAUAUCGAUGUUUCAAGCUUAGAUAUUAUGUGAGAAUGAUUUAAUCUAUACUGAUUUAUUCACAUAUGUCUGAGAGAACGAAAUAACGAUUUUUCUUUUUCGACGGGAAAAUAUACAUAUACCCUAGAUUGUCCAUGGUUUCGUAAUCUCUAAUUAAGGAAAUUGAAUUUGUAUCGAUUUAACGUACAUAACCACGUACGAUAUUGUUUAUAGGAAAGUAAAAUAAUUAAAAGGAAAAUAAAAAA